GGCCCCAUAGAUCAGUGGUUAGAGCAUUGGUUUAGUAAACCAGGGGUCAUGAGUUCAUAUCUCACUGGGGCCU